rnacentral:rRNA from 1 species
GACGAACGCUGGCGGCGUGCUUAACACAUGCAAGUCGAGCGAAUGGAUUAAGAGCUUGCUCUUAUGAAGUUAGCGGCGGACGGGUGAGUAACACGUGGGUAACCUGUCCAUAAGACUGGGAUAACUCCGGGAAACCGGGGCUAAUACCGGAUAACAUUUUGAACCGCAUGGUUCGAAAUUGAAAGGCGGCUUCGGCUGUCACUUAUGGAUGGACCCGCGUCGCAUUAGCUAGUUGGUGAGGUAACGGCUCACCAAGGCAACGAUGCGUAGCCGACCGGAGAGGGUGAUCGGCCACACUGGGACUGAGACACGGCCCAGACUCCUACGGGAGGCAGCAGUAGGGAAUCUUCCGCAAUGGACGAAAGUCUGACGGAGCAACGCCGCGUGAGUGAUGAAGGCUUUCGGGUCGUAAAACUCUGUUGUUAGGGAAGAACAAGUGCUAGUUGAAUGAGCUGGCACCUUCACGGUACCUAACCAGAAAGCCACGGCUAACUACGUGCCAGCCGCCGCCGUAA